GAGAUCUCAGCCUCUGCGGUGCGCAGACAACUGUGGGGCAACCGAAUGUCUGUGACGCCCACGCCGUGAUGACGCAUGUUUGUGAGCCCACUGUGAUGAUGCAUGUCUGUGACUCCACCGUGAUGGCACAAGUCCGUGAUCCCAGCGCUUGGGAGGCAACAAAGAACUGUGGCAGCAGUCUUCUCGACCAGUGUGAUUAGCCGACGAGUACCUGCUGCACAUUUCCAAGUCCAAGCGAGCAUCCAAGCCCCUCUCUCCGCCUCCUGGUCCUCCAGCUCACUGGCUUACUUCCCCAAAGCUACACAUCGUUUUUAUAACCCUCCCAUUCUUGCUGUGUUUGUUCUCUAGCUCUAUGCUUCACUGGGUUUUCUCUGUUCUCCACCUCCUGCUCUUCCCUGUCACUGACUGCCCUGGCACGUCCAGAAUGCUGGCAUUCUGUCUAAGCUCCACCCCCACAGCUACCUAGGAACAGCCAGGUAUGCUCCACCCCACAGUUGCCUGGCAACAGCCAGCUGUGCCUGACACUAUUAAAGGGGCUGCUUGACCCCUCCUUUUCCUCUUCCUCCCUUCCUACCCCCUCUCUUUGUUCUCUGUUCUUGCCCCCUUCCCCCUCCCCACCACAUGCCCAUGGACAGCUGCCUUUCCUCUCUUCCUCUACUCUUCUUUCAUUAAACCUCUCCACGUGG
rnacentral:lncRNA from 1 species